UUGAAGUCACACAGUAUGGCUAAAAUAGCUAUAUACGCGAGAGUUCACGAAUUAUGCCGGGAUAUACGUUUCAAGGUUUAGGUACCAAUCGAGGUAACUUUUAAACAGGCAAAGAAGAAAUAGUUUGUGGUAACAAGCCGAAAACAUAUUAAAGAAACGCAAUAGAAGAAGAUGUUGAAGUCAACAGGAUUAAUUAUAUGUUAUCUGGUAAUACUCUUUUGCCACGUGAAAAGAUCAUGUUGCGAAGAAGCGACAGAUACCAAAUUCGAGUCGACAAAAAAGAAACAAUCGCAAACACGCGAAGAAGGUGAAGAUUAUAGCCUCUUAUGGUCAGUAAUAACGCCAAUCGGUGUCGUUUUCUUUGUGCUGUUAGUCUACUGGGUGAUAGUCGCGUGCACAAGACCACGUUCUUUACGUUCAUGGACUCCACAAUAUCAUGUAUAAUGCACCCGCACUGUAAGGGAUAGCUCGGGCUACUGUAUAAAAGGGUAUUUACGCUGCCCGAACAAUCGCAGGCUCUUAAAAUGAAAAAAAUAUGCUUUGGCUGUUGGUUUUUUGCUUUUGUAUUGUAAUACCAUAUAAUGCGAUAAAAUUAUUACAAAUCGUCGUGUUUUGAAAGAUGUAAUUGAAUAAUUUACACCGGUCUAUUGGCACAAAUCGUAUAAGUAGUUCUAAACAUGAAUUUUUCGUGCCAUAGCUGGAUUCGCCUAACAUAUGUUUUAUUUUGUAGUUUUAACGAUUAUAAACGUCGUGAAAUUGUUGAGUUUGGGGAAUGUAAUAAAAUGGAGUAAAACCUGUGCCUUGAAUGAUCUUGUUAUUUAUGUCCCAACACGCACGAAGACUGUUAUAUAAUGAUUCAGCGCGCAGUGGCAAUAAAAAAUACAAAAAUGAGGAACGAAGACAACAAUUCAUGCAGCCGAAAAUCAAUACAGUCUGAUUUUUAGCCACUCUACGCUUACAUGUUUUUAUUUCUAUUUAUGUAUGAUACCAUAUGGUUAAGUUAGGUGGGUAU